rnacentral:rRNA from 1 species
AUUGAACGCUGGCGGCAGGCCUAACACAUGCAAGUCGAGCGAGCGGCGGACGGGUGCGUAAUGCCUGGGAAUUGCCCAGUCGAGGGGGAUAACAGUUGGAAACGACUGCUAAUACCGCAUACGAUUGGAUUGCCCAGGUGGUAUUAGCCAGUUGGUGAGGUAAUGGCUCACAAAGGCGACGAUCCCUAUCUGGUCUGAGAGGAUGAUGGGACACACGGAAACUGAGACACAGUCCAGACUCCAACGGGAGGCAGCAGUAGGGAAUAUUGCACAAUGGGGGAAACCCUGAUGCAGCAAUGCAGAGUAUGUGAAGAAGGCCUUCGGGUUGUAAAGCACUUUCAGCGAGGAGGCGUUACUCGCAGAAGAAGCACCGGCUAACUCCGUGCCAGCAGCCGCGGUAAUUC